rnacentral:rRNA from 1 species
AGUAAGGGCGACUGAACUGGGAAAAGCCCAGCGCAUAACCUGGCGUCGUGACCCGGCGCCAGGGGUGUUGCGUUUCGGAGGGUCCGGCACGCAGUCUCUCACCGCCUAAGUUAUGCUUGAAAGCGGCCACUACCCAUGGAGGGUGACAGGCCCGUGUGGCGGCGCCCGCGAGGGUACACGAGAGAUUGUCGGAAAGGGCCUCUCCGUAGAGUCGGGUUGCUUGAAAAUGCAGCCCUAAGCAGGUGGUAAACUCCAUCUAAGGCUAAAUAUGACCACGAGACCGAUAGCGAACAAGUACCGUGAGGGAAAGUUGAAAAGAACUUUGAAGAGAGAGUUCAAGAGUACGUGAAACCGUUAAGAGCCAAACGGGUGGGACCUCGAAGGUCGAACCGAGGGGAUUCAGCUCGUCGGCCAAAGCCGGCUGGACGUUGGGAUUCGCUUAUGCGACCCAGGAACUCUUGGGCGUGCCCACGUUCAAGCCGGCGCCGGCGGGCGUAUUUCCCCUCGUGAUGUAGGUCGCCGCGACCCGUUGCUGGGGACGUCUAAGGCCCGGGCGGACUGGUACCCCAACGUCGUGCACUUUUUUAGUGCCGGCGAAGGGGGAAACCUCCGGUGUCCUGGCUGCCCUGCGACGGUCGUGUAGCAGAGGGGCGCAUCCACGCCAAUACUUCCUCUCGCGGCGUGCAAAAGGUCGGUGACCCACCCGACCCGUCUUGAAACACGGACCAAGGAGUCUAACAUGUGUGCGAGUCAUUGGGCGCACUAAACCCAAAGGCGCAAUGAAAGUGAAAGGGGGGUGUCCCGGCUUCGGUCGGUGGCGCCCUCCGGGGCCGAUCCCUGACCGGCCGAUGCCGCCGGGUCUUCCCAUACCAAAGCGAGGUCAUUCCAAAAGAGGUGCGCGGGGUGAGUCCCUCUCCCCCGUCGUCUACCUCUGGCUUCGUGGGUUGCCCGGCGCGCUCGGUGGUCCGAGCUUGCUCGCCUGUAUGCAGGGGGGCGCAGGCCCGGGACUUGCCAUACGACGCCGUCGCGCGAAUCUGUUGUUGGCCUCAUCGGCUCUGCUUGGGCUCUCGGUUGGUGUGCCGCGUGUCUUUGGGCGGGCUUUGGGCGGGGGCUUCACGGCUUCUUCCCGGGUUCGUCCGGCGCGGUUACGCCUUCUGAUCCUGCUCUGUCCGGAGUGGCCUAGCGCGUGUGCUGUCGGCAAGUACCAUGAGCAGACAUGUUGGGACCCGAAAGAUGGUGAACUAUGCCUGGCCAGGAUGAAGCCAGAGGAAACUCUGGUGGAGGUCCGUAGCAAUUCUGACGUGCAAAUCGAUUGUCAGAGCUGGGUAUAGGGGCGAAAGACUAAUCGAACCAUCUAGUAGCUGGUUCCCUCCGAAGUUUCCCUCAGGAUAGCUGGUACUCGCGGAAACAAAGGAGUUUCAUCCGGUAAAGCGAAUGAUUAGAGGUCUUGGGGACGAAACGUCCUCAACCUAUUCUCAAACUUUAAAUGGGUGAGAUGCCGAGCUUGCUUGAAUGCUGAAGCUUCGGCGACUAAUCCGAAGUAUCUAGUGGGCCAUUUUUGGUAAGCAGAACUGGCGCUGUGGGAUGAACCAAACGUCGAGUUAAGGGGCCUAAACGAAUGCUCAUCUAGACCCCAUCGAAAGGCGUUGGUUGCUAUAGACAGCAGGACGGUGGCCAUGGAAGUUGGAAUCCGCUAAGGAGUGUGUAACAACUCACCUGCCGAAGCAACUAGCCCUUAAAAUGGUAUGGCGCUCAAGCAUUCUCCCGAUACUCGACCGCCGGUGGCACUAAAGGCCAAGCUUCCCUCUUAGCGGGGGGAGGCCCAGGUCUCCAAGCCCCGGCGAGUAGGAGGGUCGCAGGGGUGAGCGCUGAAGGGAUCCGGCGUGAGCCGGCCUGGAGCCGCCCCUGGUGCAGAUCUUGGUGGUAGUAGCAAAUAGUCGAGAGAGACUUCCCUUGAAGGCCGAUGUGGAGAAGGGUUCCAUGUGAACAUCAGUUGGACAUGGGUUAGUCGCUCCUAAGCCCAAGGCUAAAGCCUUAUCCCACGCUAGAGGCAACGGCCAAGCGAGUCGCGGAGAGAGAGAGAGAGAGAGAGAGUGAAUUGAAUAAGAGAGAGACUAGUCUCUUCUAUAUAUAGUGUCUCUACUCUACUCUACUCUACUGCAAACAACAACAAAAUGAGAGAUUUUUCUCAGUUGCCAGUUGGGAGUUAGUGGCGAAAGGGAAUACGGUACUUAUUCCGUAACCAGGCCUGGAUGCCAACCGGGGCCCAGUUCCUUCUCGGGCUGGCCCUUGGUGCAGGAACCCGGUAACGGGAACCAACUCGCGUCCAUCGGCGGUGGUCCGGGGAAGAGUUUUCUUUUCUGUUUAAGGCGCCGUGACCCUAGAAGCCACUCGCAGAGCGAAAGGGUGUUGGUAACACGGUCUGCCGUAGAGCGCCGCGGUUCUUGCGGCGUCCCGCGUACCACUGCCGGUCCGUGAAACAUGCGAGGCAGGUAACUGCAUGGGGCGAAGCGUGGGAGUCUGCUGCUGUGGCGUCGCCCGUUUCGGCGGUGCGGUGCUCGCACGCACGCGGCUCCCGCGAAACACCCCAGUUUCGGGCCUGCGCGUACCCAUAUCCGCAGCCGGUCUCCAAGGUACC